AUUAUGGUAGUAGGAAAUGUCGGACCAACUAAUAGGAGCCAUGGUAUGAAUCGUUCCUAACUCUACUCUCCUCUUCAGUUUCGGAGGUAGUUCCUUCAGUACUCGAACUUCAUCUCUCAAGGAUGUUAUAAAAUGAUCAAUAUCAAAUAUGUCUUGAAAUUCACUGCAAAAUCUUGGAGGUAGCUCCUUUAAUAUUCGAACUUCAUCUCUCAAGGAUGUAAUAAAAUGAUCAAUAUCAAAUAUGUCUUGAAAUUCACUGCAAAUAAAAAAUGUUGUUAAUACAAAUCACCAUGUUUUCUUUCUAAAGAAGAAUUCAGUAAUUUGAAAGACAAAAAACAAGAUAAUUGAGUGGACAC
rnacentral:lncRNA from 1 species